rnacentral:lncRNA from 1 species
UGAACAUCAUCAUAUGUUUGCGAAGGAUGCAACUAUGCAUUUAAGCAAUAUUGUCAAAUGUUUUGAAAAUUUCUCAAAAUCUAUGUGUUUACCUUACCCCCAACGAAAAUAUUGAAUUUUUGGUAAAUGUUUUACAUACUGAAACCUAUAAUCUUUAGGGGUAUUUCGAAAUUUGUAACCACAUUCUAAAUCUUUAUCAAUGUUAUUUAAACUCUCUUUCCUGGUACGUGGGAAUCUUUCUAAUUUUAUAUCAAUUAAGUUUGGAAAAUUUCAUGUAAUCCCUAAAUUAGUGAACUAAACAUUAUAAAAUCGUUAUUUUCGAGAUAAACAUAGACAACAAAGUUUCCAAGUCUCUUUGACCAUCAUCAUAUGUUAGUUUAAGGAUGCAACUAUGCAUGAAAACAAUAUUGUUAUAUUUUUUAAACAUAGACAACAAAGGUUCCAAGUCUCUUUGACCAUCAUCAUAUGUUAGUUUAAGGAUGCAACUAUGCAUGAAAACAAUAUUGUUAUAUUUUUUAUUUUUUUCAAAAUCUAUGUGUAUACCUAUACGAAAUAUUGAGUUUUACGUUAAACGC